CGGAAAAGGGGGACACUGAGAACUGAAAUGGAGUAAAUUAAAUUCUAUGCAUGUGUGAUUAUGUCAAGAUGAAUUCAACAAUUUUAUAUAACUAUCAUUCACUAAUAAAAACAAAAUAGAAAAAGAGGGAUGGUUAUAAGUCAGUAAUAUACUGCUUAAGUCAGAAAUUGGUAAAAGAGACAAAGAAGGGUAUUAUAUAUCAAUGAAACUGUUAAUUCAUCAAAAGAUAUAAAAAUGAUAAGCCUAGGCUGAUGAAACAACAGAGCCUUAAUGUUACAUUUGAAGCAAACAUUGACACAUUGAAAGGAGAAAUAGUUCUAAAAUAAUAGUUGAAAAUUUAUUCCACCUUUAAUAAUGCAUAAAACAUCUAGAGAAAGGUAUGAUAAGGAAAUAAAAGGAAAUAAGGACUCAAAGAACACUAUAAAACAUCUAGACCAAAUAUGUCUAUAGAAAAUUCUACCUAACAGCAGAACACAUAUUCCUCCAGAGUGCACAUAAUGUUCUUUAAGAUAGACCACUUAUUAAGUCACAAAGCAUAUCUUAUUAAAUUUAAAGUGAUAAAAAUUAUACAAAGCAUCUUCUCAAAUGAGUAAAGCUAGAAAUUAAUGAACAAAAAAAGGGGAUAUGGAAUUCACAAAUGUAUGGGAAUUAAAUGACACACCCUUAAAUAAGCAAUGAGUCAAAGAAGAAAUCCAUG
rnacentral:lncRNA from 1 species